GGUGUGGGGAGGAGGGGUGAGGGAGAGGAAAGGUCGAUGAGCAAGGUUUGGAAGUAUUUGUAAACUUGGGCAAUAGAUUGCACAAGAGCUUAAAGAGCAGAAGUGGACAGACUUAGGAAUCAGAGGCUCAUAUUAUGAACUUGGCUAGCCUUGGAAAAACAGCAGCUGUUUACCGGGGUAGGGACACCGCGGCCAACGGAUAUCGGCUUAUUUUGGAGAAGAUGGGGAUCGGAGGGAGGGUCACCCACGCCCAGGCCAAGAAGAAGUGGGACAAUCUGAAGACGAAGUACAAGGAAUGCAAGUGUCCUGCUACAGGUCAGGGGACAGAUGAUGGCAAGGCGACGGCAGUAACUUGGCCCUGGUUUGCCCUCAUGGACGAGGCAUUAGGGCAGUCUUGCCCUCCUGCCUUAUUGCCUCGAUCCAAAAGGACAAACCAGGGCCAAGCACUGCACAAGAGGUAGAAGAAGGGAGAGAUGAGGAGGAGCAGGAGGAGGAGGAGAGAGACACAUGCAGCAGCAGAGAGAGAGCAGGGAACAGAGGAGAGAAGAGGAGAAGGGAGAGAGUGGAUCCAUUCCUACAGCUACUGAAGGAGGACAUAAAAUACCAGAGGGAGGCAGAUGAGAGGAGGGAAGCAGAGGCCAGAGAGAAGUCAAAAAUACAAAAAUUAAGUAAAUUAAAUUUAACUGAUUUUGUCUUUGCCCAGUCUAUGUCCAUUUUUUUUGUACUUUAGACUGCAAUAGAAACAACUUGGUAAGUAACAAAUAACUAGCAUGUGAAGCCUAGAACAAUGUAUUGAACAAUAUCUUCACCCUUACUUACAACGUUUUGUGGUUAGGUAUUCCAAGCUCUACAAAAAACAAUUUCUUCUUGGUUACAAAAAAUUAUUUAUUUAAACAUUUAAAUAUUGACAACUAUUUGCAUGAAGGAAAACAAUUCAAACAACAUUCUCAUAACAUUCUCAUAUCUACAAUUAUAUAAAACAACUUACAACUAUAUACAACAACUUAAACAUUUACAACUAUAUACAACAAGACCAACAACAAGAAGCGGCCAUCAGCUACAGCUGCUGCUGCUUCAAGACUGCAGACAGAAGAAGAAAGUUUAGAAAAAUAAUCGUGGUCCAGAGGUGCCUCAUGCAGUGCAGACACCUCGUCGGUCAGCGAGGCUCAGGGACGAAGGCGGGCUUUUUCACUGACAUAAUGACGCAAUGACGUGCACUUGGUAGCCUGUUCCAUUGUACGUGUUCUUCGAAUGCUAAGGAGGAGCCUGGCCUAGCCUCUGAAGGAUCCUUCCUUGGAAGGACUAGUCCUACCAAGGAAGGAUCCUUGACUUUAAGAAACAGCUACUAAUUCCUUACCACUGUUUGGAAAAAAAAAAGAACAGUUUGUAAUCGGUCGUAGAAGGCGGGAUGCAACAGAAGGCGCAGGAAGUCAGCAUCACUGGACUUAAUUUUCAGAUCAGUUUAUGCCUUUGCAUCUCUGUGUUCCAGUUUCAAGAAGUUAAGACGGAGUUAAGGAAGAUAACUGGAGAUUGAUAAAGAUACCAGUUUUCAUUCAUUCAGGACGAGUCUGAUGAGCCAGAGCUUGAUGGUGUUGCAGUGGGCCUUCUUACUGUCAUCAGUGACCAUGAUACAAGUCCAGUUCACUACCACCCUGUGAGAAUCUCUGUUGUUGAAAGUGAUGCCGUGGUCAGCCUCCCCAGACUUGGCGAUGCCUUCCUGAAAGUGGUAAACUGUCACCCAGGUUGCAGACCCUCAAGAAUGACUUGAUGUAGAAACUCAUCUGAAAGAAGGCUAAAGCAUUAUAAAAGGCUAGUUGAAAGUUAUGUCCUUUUGUCUAAAUAAUGCCUCAAAAAGUUACUGCACUACUUUGCAGUUGUUCAGCCAAUAGGCCCAAACUACACAAUAUGCCUUUGUUCUCCAUCCAUCCAUCCAUCAUCUUCC